rnacentral:lncRNA from 1 species
GGGCAGGAUUGAUCCUUUCGAGCCCAAAUGGGCAGCCACCGAGUAUGCCCUACGUUUCAAGUUUCCAACAAUAAAUAAUGAGACCAAAUAUGAAACCUUAGCAGUCAGACUCAGAAUUGCCAAGGAACUGGGGAUACAAGAUCUAAAGCCCCGCAUCAACUCCCAACUGGUCGUCGGGCACAUCCGAGGCCAUUAUGAGGUC